rnacentral:rRNA from 1 species
AUGGGUAGCUUGGGAUCGGAGGUCGACCAUGGCGGCAGGGAGAUGUUCCAUGGCCACGCCGACCCCGUCGUCCACGAGCUCAACAGGCUGGAGAAUCUCCUCAGAGAAAAGGAACGAGAACUAGGACACGCAUACAGUGAAAUAAAAGGUCUGAAGGUGACAGAAGCUCUGAAGGACAAGGCCAUUGCUGAGCUGAGCAAGGAGCUGAAGAAACAGGACGAGAGGCUGAGCAUCCUGGAGAAGCAGCUUGAGCAGAAGAAUCUGGAUGUGAAAAGGAUAUGCAAUGAGCGCAAGGAAGCGUUGUCUGCACAGUUCGCUGCCGAGGCAUCGCUCAGGAGGAUCCACUCGGCUCAGAGAGACGAGGAAGUGGUUCCCUUUGAUGCCAUCAUAGGGCCCCUGGAGUCUGACAUCAAGAAGUACAAGCAUGAGAUUGCGGUGCUCCAGGAUGACAAAAAGGCGCUCGAACGGCACCUGAAGCUCAAUGAGGCGGCGUUCGUUGAGGCUGGGGACAUUCUGCGCAGCGCACUCGAGAGAGCGCUGAUUGUAGAGGACGUCCAGAACCAGAAUAUUGAACUGAAGAAACAGAUGGAGAUCUACCAUGAGGAGAACAUGCUUUUGGAGAAGAGCAACAGGCAGAAGGUCCUGGAAAUUGAGAAGCUCACCCACACCGUUGGUGAGCUUGAGGAGUCCAUUCUUGCCAGCAGAGAUGUUGCCAACGCUGUGCACUUCUACCAGAACCAGGCUACCAGGUUGAAUGUAAGUGAGAUCGAUGAGGAGAAGAAGACGCUCGAGAGGGAGUUGGCUCGAGCUAAAGUCUACGUCAACCGUGUGGCGACAACAACAGCAAACGAAUGGAAGGACGAUGCUGAUAAAUUGAUGCCAGUUAAGAGAUGGCUGGAAGAACGAAGACUGCUGCAGGGAGAGAUACAACGGCUGCGCGACAAGAUAGCCAUAGCAGAGAGGUCUGCAAAGGUGGAAGCCCAACUUAAUGAUAAGCUCAAAAGGAGACUGAAAUCAUUGGAAGAGGACAUGAGAAAUGGAAAAUCCAACACACCUGACAGUGAGGCCAAUAGGAAAGGCACUCCGAAAAGAUCAACAUCUCAACCAAGACAACCAAGCACACCCAGAAUGUCACAGCAACUGGCUUCAUUCGAAGGCAUUGUUGACAAGAGAAGACCAACAUCCCAACCAAGGGCGGCUGUGGGAGGGAAGGUGCUGAAGCAACCCAAUUCAGACACCGAGCCUGCAGAGAAGACGAGAAACAUUAAACAACCUGACAGCCCAAGAGCGAGAACUGCUGCUGCUAGAAAGGAGCGUCCUGUGAGAAAUCAACUGUGGGCGACAAGAAGUAAAGUGACCAGCGAUGCUGGCAAAGAGAACAAGGAGCAGAAUCCAAAUUACAAGCCACAUUCGAGCGCUCCACAUGAGCAGGGACAUGAUGCCACAAAGCCACAAGCUGCAGUAUUUGAUGCGAAUGGAGACUGUGGAGUUCAGCGCAGUGAACAUCACAAAGACAUGGAUUUGGAGAACUUGGAUGACAAAAAGGCGGAUGCUUCGAAUGCAGAGAGUACUCAGGGUGGCAACAGGGGAAACUAA